CCAGACUCCUACGGGAGGCAGCAGUAGGGAAUAUUGCUCAAUGGGGGAAACCCUGAUGCAGCAACGCCGCGUGAGUGAGGAAGUAUUUCGGUAUGUAAAGCUCUAUCAGCAGGGAAUAGAAAAGAAGGUACCUGAAAAAGAAGCCCCGGCUAACUACGUGCCAGCAGCCGCGGUAAUACGUAGGGGGCAAGCGUUAUCCGGAUUUACUGGGUGUAAAGGGGGCGCAGACGGCAGCGCAAGCCAGGAGUGAAAGCCCGGGGCCCAACCCCGGGACUGCUCUUGGAACUGCGCGGCUGGAGUGCAGGAGGGGCAGGCGGAAUUCCUGGUGUAGCGGUGAAAUGCGUAGAUAUCAGGAGGAACACCGGUGGCGAAGGCGGCCUGCUGGACUGCGACUGACGUUGAGGCCCGAAAGCGUGGGGAGCAAACAGGAUUAGAUACCCCUGUA
rnacentral:rRNA from 1 species